GUGCAGCCUGCCCUGGUCUCCUUUCCAUUGCUCUAUGGGAGCUGGUCUCAGGGAAUGAGCGUAAACACUAAAACUCUGGCCCCAUCUACCUUGGGAGCAAAGUCCCUUUGUCCCUGGCCCCAUGCUAUCCAGGUAAGUGAAGUGAUGAAUGAGGGGGUAGGGUGGUCUCAGACUCUCCCUUUUCGUAAACACUUCCGUAGGCAGGCUCUGUGCUUUCCUAUCACUUUCCAAAAGCCUAGGGCCAUACCACUGUCCAUGAGUGAGUGGAAGAAAUGAUUUAGGCACACUCUAGUUUUGGAUAUUAUUAUUUAGAAAAGUUAUUUUUUUUCCUUUUCGGCUCUAAAGUAACUAGAUGUGUUUUGAAGGAUAAAAGUAUUUUAUUAUUAUUAAAACUUUUACUCAAAGUAAGUCAGUUCUCCAACCAACAAACCAUCAUGUUUCCUGAUGAUCUAAUAAAUUCAUCCCUAAAUGAAGUGCCUUCUUCAGGUGUCUGUCUUUACAGAAGGAGCAUGGACUUUUCAGAAUAUGAAAUAAUCUAAUGCAUUUCUGUAUCCUGGCAUCUAAAACAAUGACUUUACAGAAGGAGCAUGGACUUCUGAGAAUAUGAAAUGAUCUAACUUAUCUCUGUAUCCCGGCAUCUAGAACAAUGACUUUACAGAAGGAGCAUGGACUUUUGAGGAUAUGAAAUGAUCGAACUCAUCUCUGUAUCCCGGCAUCUAGAACAACGACUUUACAGAAGAAGCAUGGACUUCUGAGGAUAUGAAAUGAUCAAACUCAUCUCUGUAUCCCGGCAUCUAGAAAAAUGACUUUAUGGAAGGAGCACGGACUUCUGAGAAUAUGAAAUGAUCGAACUCAUCUCUGUAUCCUGGCAUCUAGAACAAUGACUUUAUAGAAGGAGCAUGGACUUCUGAGUAUAUGAAAUGAUCAAACUCACCUCUGUAUCCCGGCAUCUAGAACAAUGACUUUACGGAAGGAGCACAGACUUCUGAGGAUAUGAAAUGAUCGAACUCAUCUCUGUAUCCUGGCAUCUAGAACAAUGACUUUACAGAAGGAGCAUAGACUUCUGAGGAUAUGAAAUGAUCAAACUCAUCUCUGUAUCCCAGCAUCUAGAAAAAUGACUUUAUGGAAGGAGCACGGACUUCUGAGAAUAUGAAAUGAUCGAACUCAUCUCUGUAUCCUGGCAUCUAGAACAAUGACUUUACAGAAGGAGCAUGGACUUCUGAGUAUAUGAAAUGAUCAAACUCACCUCUGUAUCCCGGCAUCUAGAACAAUGACUUUACGGAAGGAGCACAGACUUCUGAGGAUAUGAAAUGAUCGAACUCAUCUCUGUAUCCUGGCAUCUAGAACAAUGACUUUACAGAAGGAGCAUAGACUUCUGAGGAUAUGAAAUGAUCUAACGCAUCUCUGUAUCCCGGCAUCUAGAACAAUGACUUUACAGAAGGAGUACAGACUUCUGAGGAUAGAAAAUGAUAUAACUCAUCUCUGUAUCCCAGCAUCUAGAACAAUGACUUUACAGAAGGAGCAUAGACUUCUGAGGAUAUGAAAUGAUCUAAUGCAUCUCUGUAUCCUGGCAUCUAGAACAAUGACUGCAUAGAAGGAGCUCAGACUUUUGAGGAUAUGAAAUGAUCAAACUCAUCUCUGUAUCCCGGCAUCUAGAACGAUGACUUUACAGAAGGAGUACGGACUUCUGAGGAUAUGAAAUGAUCUAACGCAUCUCUGUAUCCCGGUAUCUAGAACAAUGACUUUACAGAAGGGGCACGGACUUCUGAGAAUAUGAAAUGAUCUAACGCAUCUCUGUAUCCCGACAUCUAGAAAAAUGACUGCACAGAACGGGCAUGGACUUCUGAGAAUAUGAAAUGAUCUAACUCAUCUCUGUAUCCCGGCAUCUAGAACAAUGAGUUUACAGGAGGAGCAUAGACUUCUGAGAAUAUGAAAUGAUCGAACUCAUCUCUGUAUCCUGGCAUCUAGAACAUGACUUUACAGAAGGAGCAUGGACUUCUGAGAAUAUGAAAUAAUCUAACUCAUCUCUGUAUCCCGGCAUCUAGAACAAUGACUGCAUAGAAGGAGCUCAGACUUUUGAGGAUAUGAAAUAAUCAAACUCAUCUCUGUAUCCCAGCAUCCAGAACAAUGACUUUACAGAAGGGGCACGGACUUCUGAGGAUAUGAAAUGAUCAAACUCAUCUCUGUAUCCC
rnacentral:lncRNA from 10 species